GCCGAGGUGGCGGAAUUGGUAGACGCGCUAGCUUCAGGUGCUAGUUUUCUCACGGAAGUGCUGGUUCGAGUCCAGUUCUCGGUACCA
rnacentral:tRNA from 1 species